UCUUCUCUUCCUUGUCUCUCAGUCAGCGAUUGAUGUCGGGCUCUGCAGAUCGGGCAAGUUAGGAACUAAUGCUUCCUCCAGUCGCCAACUGGAGCCAGUUCCUUUCAGUCAAAUUACAAAGUUGCGCAAAGUAUAACAUACAUCAACUUAAUUAAACAGAAGACAGAUAAGACGUUUAGAGCCUUGUCGGUGACAUGGACGCCGCUGUUGGCUUGGAACAGCUAUUUGCUGUGCAUAGGGACGUGCUCGCGUUAGCCGUGUUGCAACAGCUCAGGAUGGAUUUCAGCCAGCAACAGCCGCAAGAGCUGCAGCACAACCACCGGGAAUGUCUUCAGUUGGGCACGUGUAGUUUUGGUCGGCGGGGUCGAGCAUCGUACGCAUUGCACACAGAAACCAAGGUGCAGCGUCUUUGUAACAUCGCUAACAUAUCCGGUACGCGGUGGCAGGCUUGCCGAGCACGAAAUGAAGGGGGGUCGCAUCUCACCAUUCAACUAAGCAUGCAUGUGCUCGGUUGAAUGCUCGGUAGCGUGCGAGUUUACCCCUAUCAGGAUGUUUGUUUGCAUAUCCCUCCAAGCGAGAGGGCUUGGACCUAUGCUGAUGUUCGUUCCAAAAAGUGAACUGAGGACUGAUGCUACGGUGAAAGGUAUGCACGUAAAUUCGCCCGUGCGCCAAACGCCCUGUAACUCGCUUAUGCUAAUCUCACAUUCCAAUAUGCCACUGCACUUUCCUCUCCAGCCUGGCCACAUUCUCUUCCUCGCAAACGUACUUGGGCACCUUACAAUCCAGCACCAUACGUGCUUUGGAAAUGCGGGCAGCUGCUUCACAAGAACCACCCUAUUUAAGCAGCCUCUCGCACAAAUGUGUCCGGUCGUACUGUGCCGAAUUAAGACUCCGUACAUGUCGCCCCAAAAGUCAGGAGCGAAUUUUACCGCGCAGAUGCGCGCGUGCGAUUCUCAAAAUGCGCCUGUACAAGUGUAUAUAAAUUUUCUUGGCGGAAAAGGACCAGGUGCGCCAGCGCUUUGCGCAGGUGGGCAUGUUGGCCAUAGCCGCACGCGGCAUGCAGGCUGGACUAUUGCGUGGAUGCUUUGCAGUAACUAAAAGCACCGAAAGCCAACGUCGUAUCUUGCAACUCUGGGCUCGUGAAACUGCCGCGGAAGAUGAAGCGCUGGCGAAGAAGCAGUUGUGUGUAAGCCAUAAGGCACCUGCUUUCGGUAGCGCAGCGCAUAAUGCACAUUGUUCCGACUAAACUCAAGUUACACUCUUACGAAAUAAAUAAUAACAAACGCAGAAUUAGGUAAAGAUAAGAAUCGCGAAAGUCGUUCAGAACCUUGCAAGUAAAAUGGAUGCCGCUGUUGGCUUGGAACAGCUAUUUGCUGUGCAUAGGGACGUGCCCGCGUUAGCCGUGUUGCAACAGCUCAGGAUGGAUUUCAGCCAGCAACAGCCUCAAGAGCUGCUGCACAACCACCGGGAUUGUCUUCAGUUGGGUCGAGCAUCGUACGCAUUGUGCACAGAAACCAAGGUGCAGCGUCUCUGUAAUAUCGCCAACAUAUCCGGUACGCGGUGGCAGGCUUGCCGAGCACGAAAUGAAGGGGGGGUCGCAUCUCACCAUUCAACUAAGCAUGCAUGUGCUCGGUUGAAUGCUCGGUAGCGUGCGAGUUUACCCCUAUCAGGAUGUUUGUUUGCAUAUCCCUCCAAGCGAGAGGGCUUGGACCUAUGCUGAUGUUCGUUCCAAGAAGUGAACUGAGGACUGAUGCUACGGUAACGCCCUGUAACUCGCUUACGCUAAUCUCACAUUCCAAUAUGCCACUGCACUUUCCUCUCCAGCCUGGCCACAUUCUCUUCCUUGCAAACGUACUUG
rnacentral:lncRNA from 1 species